rnacentral:rRNA from 1 species
UACGUAGGGUGCGAGCGUUAAUCGGAAUUACUGGGCGUAAAGCGUGCGCAGGCGGUUAUGUAAGUCAGGGGUGAAAUCCCGGGGCUCAACCUCGGAACUGCCUUUGAUACUGCAAAUCUCGAGUCCGGUAGAGGUGGGUGGAAUUCCUAGUGUAGAGGUGAAAUUCGUAGAUAUUAGGAAGAACACCAGUGGCGAAGGCGGCUCACUGGCCCGGUACUGACGCUCAUGUGCGAAAGCGUGGGGAGCAAACAGG